rnacentral:rRNA from 1 species
CGUAUAUUAAAGUUGUUGCAGUUAAAAAGCUCGUAGUUGGAUUUGUGGCGCAUGGUGUGUUCCGGGCACUUGUUGUCUGAGUAACCUGCUGUUGCCAUCCUUGGGUGGAACCUGUGUGGCAUUAGGUUGUCGUGCAGGGGAUGCCCAUCAUUUACUGUGAAAAAAUUAGAGUGUUCAAAGCAGGCUUAUGCCGUUGAAUGUAUUAGCAUGGAAUAAUGAGAUAGGACUUUUUUACUAUUUUGUUGGUUUGCGUAAAGAGGUAAUGAUUAAUAGGGACAGUUGGGGG